CUGCGAAAUCGUAAGAUGAAGUAUAGGGUGUGACGCCUGCCCGGUUCUGGAAGGUUAAUUGAAGGGGUUAGCGCAAGCGAAGCUCUGGAUCGAAGCCCCAGUAAACGGCGGCCGUAACUAAAACGGUCCUAAGGUAGCGAAAUUCCUUGUCGGGUAAGUUCCGACCUGCACGAAUGGCGUAACGAUGUCCACACUGUCUCCACCAGAGACUCAGUGAAAUUGAAAUCGCGGUGAAGAUGCAGUGUACCCGCGGUGAGACGGACAGAC
rnacentral:rRNA from 1 species